GGUGAAGGAACAGUAACAUGAUGGAGGAACAGUAACAUGAUGGAGGUGAAGGAACAGUAACAUGAUGGAGGUGAAGGAACAGUAACAUGAUGGAGGUGAAGGAACAGUAACAUGAUGGAGGUGAAGGAACAGUAACAUGAUGGAGGAACAGUAACAUGAUGGAGGUGAAGGAACAGUAACAUGAUGGAGGUGAAGGAACAGUAACAUGAUGGAGGUGAAGGAACAGUAACAUGAUGGAGGAACAGUAACAUGAUGGAGGUGAAGGAACAGUAACAUGAUGGAGGUGAAGGAACAGUAACAUGAGGUGAAGGAACAGUAACAU